rnacentral:rRNA from 1 species
ACGGGUGAGUAACACGUGGGAAUCUACCCAUCCUUACGGAACAACUCCGGGAAACUGGAGCUAAUACCGUAUACGCCCUUCGGGGGAAAGAUUUAUCGAGGAUGGAUGAGCCCGCGUUGGAUUAGCUAGUUGGUGGGGUAAAGGCCUACCAAGGCGACGAUCCAUAGCUGGUCUGAGAGGAUGAUCAGCCUCAUUGGGACUGAGACACGGCCCAAACUCCUACGGGAGGCAGCAGUGGGGAAUAUUGGACAAUGGGCGCAAGCCUGAUCCAGCCAUGCCGCGUGAGUGAUGAAGGCCCUAGGGUUGUAAAGCUCUUUCACCGGAGAAGAUAAUGACGGUAUCCGGAGAAGAAGCCCCGGCUAACUUCGUGCCAGCAGCCGCGGUAAUACGAAGGGGGCUAGCGUUGUUCGGAUUUACUGGGCGUAAAGCGCACGUAGGCGGAUCGAUCAGUCAGGGGUGAAAUCCCAGAGCUCAACUCUGGAACUGCCUUUGAUACUGUCGAUCUGGAGUAUGGAAGAGGUGAGUGGAAUUCCGAGUGUAGAGGUGAAAUUCGUAGA